CCUGCAAACUAACCAAGCAUUUAAAUUUAAUAGCUGUCUGCAACCUCGCCGUUUCAAAGCGAUUAGGCGUUUGAUUAAAGCCCAUGUGUUGCUUUGCUGGCUGGGAGGCAAAUUCCUCCACAGGGCCCGUGAAAUCAGCUCUGGUGACCGGCAUGGCACACGGCGGAUGCUCUUCGCCAUCCCCCCUGCUCUCCCCGUGUCAGACGAGGCGCUGACGGGGAGCCCAGCCCCUCGAGUAACCCCGGCUGUCCCCUCCAUCCCCAUGCACCCGUGCGUGCAAACUGUGCUCCUCCCUCCGGUGCUCCGGCAAAGCCAGAGCAGGAGGAGAGCCUGCGGGCUGGGGACGUGCUCUUGCCCGGGGGGAAACCGAGGCACGGCGAGGGACACUGACCCCAGAGCGAGAUGGGGCUCCAGGGCUUGCGGCCGGCUGGAGCGAGAUGGAGAACGGCGGUUGUGGCUUCGUGUGGGAAACGGGAGCGCGUCGGGUAGGCAGCGUCCGGCUGGACCCGCAGGCAGCGUCAGGAAGGAUCCCAGCAAGGAGUGGAUACUUUCCAGAGCCCACCAUGCAGCCGCACGCUCACCGGUUGGACUCACUCCUUGGCUGCCCCAUCCCACCCCGCGUCUCCCUGCAUCCGGCCCCGCCGACUCCCCCCGAGGGCAGCUGGAGACACGGGGUGGCCUCCCCCAUCCCCGCAGUGCCCCUUCCCUCCUUUUCCCCACCGCCGUUUCUCACCCACAACCCCGUGUCAUUCCUGAUCCCCUCCAACGUCUCUUUCCUUACGCGUGCCCGUAACCGGUCCUUCCUCCCUCGCUCCUCGUACGCAAGCACGGGUCUUUCGCUCUCCUGUCAUAGUGACGCUCAUCCCGCUUCAGCUCCCUUUCCCUCCCGCCCGGUCCCACGGGAAGCUCACACCCAGCAUGUGCCGGGGACAACCUGCCUUUCCAUGAGGCUUUCUCGGGCAUCAGCAUCUCCUCUCCGCUCGCUCUCCCCACCAGGCUUGGCCUCAGCCAUCUUUUAUUGCUGCAGCCGUGCUGCCCUGGGCUUUAUCCUCAGUUGUACCUGUCGUACAGCUCCGUGCUGGAAGGGGAACAGCAAAACCGAAGCCCCAACGGUGCUGACCAGCCGCUCAUUCCCUUUAGACGACCCCCAGGAUCGUCUGCUGGCUCCCACCACCACCCCUUAUUUUUUAAUCUCCCUGAGUGAGCUGAGAAUUAAUUAUUUAGCAGCUCGUGGAAAGCAUCAGGAAUGUCUAAAACACGCUGAGCUGCGGCUUUAGCUUCUACCUGCCCUGGGGAGAUCGCCGGCCGCACCCCUAACGCGUGGUACACUUAAUAUUGCAUGUUGAUUAAUUGCUUCGUUUCCUCUCUCCCGAGGAGCCGUGAGUUUUGACUCAUGGGUGAAUCCGUCUCCAGAAGAAAUCGCUCCCUGUGGGAAGCAAGACGGAGCCGUGGCCGGAGGGGAGGGCGGUGGGAGCACUGGGGCUCCCUGGGCAGAACC